GAUCCAGUCGCACAAUAGGCCGUGCAGCGGACUUUUAAUCCGAGUGGAUGUGGGUUCGAGUCCCACCUGGAUCAC
rnacentral:tRNA from 1 species